rnacentral:rRNA from 1 species
CGAACGCUGGCGGCGUGCUUAACACAUGCAAGUCGAACGGAAAGGCCCUGCUUUUGUGGGGUGCUCGAGUGGCGAACGGGUGAGUAACACGUGAGUAACCUGCCCUUGACUUUGGGAUAACUUCAGGAAACUGGGGCUAAUACCGGAUAGGAGCUCCUGCUGCAUGGUGGGGGUUGGAAAGUUUCGGCGGUUGGGGAUGGACUCGCGGCUUAUCAGCUUGUUGGUGGGGUAGUGGCUUACCAAGGCUUUGACGGGUAGCCGGCCUGAGAGGGUGACCGGCCACAUUGGGACUGAGAUACGGCCCAGACUCCUACGGGAGGCAGCAGUGGGGAAUAUUGCACAAUGGGCGGAAGCCUGAUGCAGCAACGCCGCGUGCGGGAUGACGGCCUUCGGGUUGUAAACCGCUUUCGCGUGUGACGAAGCGUGAGUGACGGUAAUGGGUAAAGAAGCACCGGCUAACUACGUG